ACAAGAGUUGUGAGGAGUUGAUUAAGAGCCUCAAUCAAGAGGGAAACACAAAGCAAGCAGAUAUUCUAAGAAGAAUGAUCAUCGGAAAGGAUACAACUCUUGACAGCAAGAAAGCUGAGAAAAAGACAGCCAUUGUUACCUGAUUCCGAGAAGUUUAAGGUGAGAACUUCUGAAACAAAUUAUCUGACAGAUGAUGAUGAGAAUUUGGUUUUAGAUAAAACUCUUGACAGCAAGAAAGCUGAGAAAAAGACAGCCAUUGUUACCUGAUUCCGAGAAGUUUAAGGUGAGAACUUCUGAAACAAAUUAUCUGACAGAUGAUGAUGAGAAUUUGGUUUUUAGCAGAAUAAUAUGAGAGAUGCCAUUUAGUAUUUUCCCCUUUCUAAGGUUUUGCAUUCUGGAAUCAGUGAUCAUAUUUUUUAUUACAUGUUUCUUCUUUUGAUUGUUAAAUUUGUCUUCUACAAGUUUCAUUUGCCUAUAACAAUUAGUUAUCUGGUAAAUACAAGGGAACAUGGCUUGCGGUCUGGUGACAUAUAUAUUCUGAUGGUAAAAUUGGCUCCUGUUUUCAUUAAAAAACCGAUUAUCCAAUGACGGGCAAUUAUUUAUUUAACUUUUGUGGUAGGCCAGACUGUUUGAUUUCUUGGUGACUUAGUUGCAAGUUUGGCACACAAAUGAUUUAUCUCUUCUUUUUUUCCCCCUGAAAUAUAGUAACUAGUUUUUGAUUUGUUCUAUCCUCUUCAAUAUUUUACUAAAUAUGGUGUUUGUUAUAUUUUCACUAAAACGAAUAGAACGAAAUCAAUGUUAAUAGUGAAUGUGUAAGACCCAUGAGUCAACCGCUUCCUCUUGUUUUUCUCUUCUUUUAAUUGGUUAUGUUCUUGAUCUAAUGUUAUUUUCCAUUUGGAGUUCCAAGUGGCACGUGUCUUAUUUUAUUCCAGGGAUUACUAUUUACCCCUGGUUGUAGUAACAUGAUAUCUAAUGAAACCUUUUGACUUAUAGUUACUCCUGUUUGUUCUGUGAGCUGUUAUGCGUGAGAGAAAUUGUAAAGAGCUCUUGUUAUGCAUAUAAUAGUCCAACCUAUCUUAAACAUAUUUCUUUUCCUGAAUUUAAUUUUCCAUCUUUGCCGUCAUAGUUUUUUUUGUGUUUUUUUGUUUGUUUUUGGGUUUAAUCAUCAGUGUCUGCAACCCGCAAGGCCAACUAAUUUAGAUUUGUGCCAUAGAAAACCCACUAUUGAGGAUUUACACUCCCUACCAAAAUAGGACUCUAUCCUCAGAGCUAGAACUCGAGAAUUCCGAUUAAGGAUCAAGGUACCUUUACCAUUCCACCACACCCUUUGGUGGUUUCUUUUCUGCCAUAGUUAAUAAUGCAUUCCUAUGUUUGAAGUGAAGAAGAGAAGCAUACCUGCUCGCAGAAGCUUGAAGGUGAAGAAGCCCUAAUUUCUGAAGUUGUUUUGUUCCCAGGUGAAAAGUCCUAAUUUUCCAACCUAAGUCAGACCUUUCUCUUUUUUCUUUUUUGAUAAAGCGACGCCACAGUCGCUACACGCAAUAAAGUCGCCUCACGCCUCACACCAUGAGGCGAGCACUAUUUCCAAUCGCAUCGCAACAGACCCUUUGUGGCGACACACGCUCGCCUCGCCUCGCCUCACGCUAUUAGCGCUUAGGAGAGCGCUAUUUACAACACUACAUACUUCAGAGGCAUAAAUUGACUGUUAUAAUGAAGCUCAUUUCAUAAACAAACUGCAAUCCAGGUUGUUGAUUCAGGUUUCUUUCAUUUGCUUCAAAUCUAACAGCUAUAUGCAGUUGGUUAGCAUAAGAGAUCAAUCCAUCAAGAAGAUUUCAUUCUUUCCUUUUCCUCUUCUUUUUAUUUGAAUCUUUUUUGUUUCCUCUUCUUUUCUUUUUCACAAUGUUUCAGAUCAUUAGUGCUUCAUUACCUACCUGCUGAAAGUUCAGCCGAACCUAAUUCUAUUAAAAAAUUUAUCUACAUAAGUAUUUAACGAGGUGUUAUCUAUUCCACAUAUCUUAUUAGUUUAUUGCCAUCCCAUAGAAAAUCAAUGAGAAGAAAGAGAUUUUUUCCAUUUUCAUAGAAGCAAACUGAUUUUUUUAUAAGAAAAAGACUUGAGAUGAAUCAUGUGACUUGACCUAACUAGAAAUAUUUUUAAACCCCCCCCCNNNNNNNNNNNNNNNNNNNNNNNNNNNNNNNNNNNNNNNNNNNNNNNNNNNNNNNNNNNUUUUUAAACCCCCCCCCCCCCCCACUUUUUAAAACCUUUCAUCAUCCUAAUUACAAUUAGGUAUUUACCAGCAUUAGACAUGAAGGAGAAGGGUUGGUUUCAGAUCUUAAAGGUCUACAGACUAACAAGGAACUUUGUAGGCCUUUCAUGGGAAUCAGACAAGGGAAGGGCAAGAGAAAGAUAUUUUGUAAAUUAAAUCGGGAUAGCAGGAGGAUAAUGAACCAUGUUAUAAGGAAUAUCGUCAUAAAAGAAGGAAAAAAUGAACAAAUAGAAAUUUUCUUCUUUCUAUUUUUUUUCUUCUGUUUUUGUGGACAGAAGCAGAGCAGGUGCUUCUUCUC
rnacentral:lncRNA from 1 species